rnacentral:rRNA from 1 species
GACGAACGCUGGCGGCGUGCUUAACACAUGCAAGUCGAACGGAAAGGCCCUGCUUUUGUGGGGUGCUCGAGUGGCGAACGGGUGAGUAACACGUGAGUAACCUGCCCUUGACUUUGGGAUAACUUCAGGAAACUGGGUCUAAUACCGGAUAGGAGCUCCUGCUGCAUGGUGGGGGUUGGAAAGUUUCGGCGGUUGUGGAUGGACUCGCGGCGUAUCAGCUUGUUGGUGGGGUAGUGGCUUACCAAGUCGAUGACGCGUAGCAGACCUGAGAGGGUGAGCGGCCACCCUGGGAAUGAGACAGGGCCCAGACGCCGACGGGAGGCAGCAGUAGGGAAGCUGCGGCAAGGGGGGCAACCCUGACCGAGCAACGCCGCGGGAGGGAAGAAGGUUUUCGGAUCGUAAAGCUCGGUUGUAAGUCAAGAACGGGUGUGAGAGUGGAAAGUUCACACUGUGACGGUAGCUGACCAGAAAGGGACGGCUAACUACGUG